AUUGAACGCUGGCGGCAGGCCUAACACAUGCAAGUCGAGCGGAAGAAGGGAGCUUGCUUCUGGAGUCAGCGUCGGGCGGGUGAGUAAUGCCUAUGAAUCUGCCUGGUAGUGGGGGAUAACGUCCGGAAACGGGCGCUAAUACCGUAGACGUCCUGAGGGAGAAAGUGGGGGAUCGUCGGACCUCUCGCUAGCAUGGGAGCCUAGGUCGGAUUAGCUAGUUGGUGGGGUAAGGGCCUACCAAGGCGAGGAUCCGUAACUGGUCUGAGAGGAUGAUCAGUCACACGGGAACUGAGCCAGGGACCAGACUCCUACGGGAGGGCGCAGUGGGGUAUAUUGGGCAAUGGGCGAAAGCCUGAUCCAGCCAUGCCGCGUGUGUGAAGACGGUCUUCGGAUUGUAAAGACCUCUAAGUUGGGAGGAAGGGCAGUCAGUUAAUACCUUGCUGUUUUGACGUUACCAACAGAAUAAGCACCGGCUAACUUCGUG
rnacentral:rRNA from 1 species